UACAGAGGGUGCGAGCGUUGUCCGGAAUCACUGGGCGUAAAGGGCGCGUAGGUGGCUCUAUAAGUCGGGGGUGAAAUGCUGCGGCUCAACCGCAGCGCUGCCUCCGAGACUGUAGGGCUCGAGCACGGUAGAGGCCGAUGGAAUUCCCGGUGUAGCGGUGGAAUGCGUAGAGAUCGGGAAGAACACCAAUGGCGAAGGCAGUCGGCUGGGCCGUUGGCUGACACUGAGGCGCGACAGCGUGGGGAACAAACAGGG
rnacentral:rRNA from 1 species